UGAAACUGGCCUAAUUUGUAUUUGUUUAUUCUGCGUUUGUGUAUAGGGGGCGGGAGGAACUGACCCCCACUGAGCAGUGAGGAAAUGAAACCCCUGACUACGGAAACCAGAUUGCUGAGCUGGUUUCUAGGAGGAGCCAGAAAUCUAAAUUGGGAAAAUAUUUGCCACACAAUGACGUACACAAUUUAAAAAGCACUACAGGACCGUGCUCCCGACUGGAAGGCCCCAUUUUCCCAUUACCACAAUAUACAGUACAGCAAAAAACUCACUGAAGUACCAGAAAGAAUCUCACUUCCAUCAUUAUAUUACAGUUGCAAAUGAUGGUGUUUCUCUUUUAGUUGUAACCCU